AUGAAUCUACUACAUUUUGGCCCCAAACUUUGGUUUCAGGACGAAUUACUUAUAAUCUGCAGGCAAAACUACCUGAAAGUAGCCAGAUGUUAUUAUGAAGGUCAAUCCACUGAUCCGCAUUUGUACUCAGCGCUACUUGUUCGCAGAUAUGAUUAUCCAGAAUUCUCUAGCUCGCCAACCUACGUAAAUCGCUACUAG